UUUAUAUGAUGUUAUUUAAGUAUCUAAAAACCUAAAAUUAAUUUGCCAAACAAUAAUUCGAUUGUUAAACCUUCAGCCAGACCGAUCUAAAAGUGAAAAGUGAUUGGGCAUGUUGGAAGAGUACAGACAAUCACGUGUUAGUUGCGCAAGCGAGAUAGACGACAGCAGCUGUUUGUAAUCAAGAUGGCGUCAGUUUAGUCACAUUGGUGUAUUCGUUGCUGUUAUUUUUAAUGUUUUUAACAAAAUUGCGUUACAAUGGCUAGCGAAAAAUUAAAAUGUGUUUUUUGUAAAGACAGAAAUGGAAAAAUAAUAACUUUUGUUGAAGAUAAAUUAAAAAAGUGUAAAGAAGUUCUACAAAUACGUGUAAAUUUUAAACUGAAAUAUAAUAGUGUACAGUUACCGGAGCAAGUUGAUGACACUGAUGGAUAUCACAGAAAUUGUUACAGCAGUUUUACAGCUCUAAUGACAAAAUAUCGUAAUUUAUCUGAAAUUAAUUUCUCGUCAACAGUAGAUCUUUCCAGCACAUCUAGUUCAACUUCGUUAUCAAAUACGGCAGUAGAUGUUAGCAAAAUCCUGCCAGAUAAUACGUCUCAGAAUUCACAAACAGAAGUUGUUAUCCAAGAAAUUGACACUUCUAAUGCAAUUAUUGAGCCUGACAGUGUGGUAAAUAUAGAAACAAAUUCAGGUGUUAAACGAGUUUGUUUUUUUUGUGGAAAAGAUCGCAAGCAAUCAAAAGGUAAACAACAAACUUUACACUCCUCAAAUGAUGCAAAUAUUUAUAAAAAAAUAGCAGAGUGGAUGACAAAAUUAAGUAAUCAAGAGUUGUUAGACAAAAUAGAAAAUUUACAGUCAAAAAGUGAAAUUAUUUUUUAUCAUCAUUCGUGUGAAUUGGGAUAUUUAAAUGAUUAUAGUAAAGUUAUUGCUGAUAAUCCACAAACUCCCUGGCAUGACAAUCGGAGUAUCCACCAGUGCAUAUGAUUUUAUCUGGUUUGUUGGAGAGCAGUUACCAUCAUUAGUUGCCGACAUUAUCAUUAAAGAUAAUAGCUUAUUACAAGACGAUGAUAAUCCAAAAGACGACGAUGGCAAUGAAAAUGACAGUAGUGAUGAAGAUGAUGAUAAUUAUCAAGAUGCCUCCGUUUUUUGUGACACAAUUAUGGAUUAAAAAAUAUAAUUUUUGUUUACUUUCAUCCUUGAGAUAGAUUAUUACCUUAAUUUUGCACAAAAAUAAAUAAUUAUUUUAAUGCUA